GCCCACAUCGCAUAGUGGUUAUUGCACCGGGUUGCUAACUCGGGCCCUUCGGGGCGCCUCGGUUCGACUCCGAGUGUGGGCG
rnacentral:tRNA from 1 species